rnacentral:lncRNA from 1 species
UGGGUUGAUCGUCACGCCGCUGAUUUCGCGCUUUCUUUCUCUAUAAUUAUCCACACAAGAUGAAUUUAACUUCCCCUACUUGAUUGAGUGCUUUAAUGCAGGAUUCCAUGAAGCACAUCUCUUUUGCAUUCUUAUUUCUAUCUACUUUGUGUAAUGUUUUAUUUUCUUUAUGCUUCUCUAAGUUUGUGUGUUACAUAUUCUUUUUGCCUUUUCCUUUGGUUAGUUGAAAAGAAAGGCAACUUUUGAGUUGUGUGUAAGUUUUUGAGCCUGAAACAUGGGGUAGGCAAAUAGGCAUUGCUUUGCAAUUAUUUGCAAUUAUGGCCUUGUUUUCUCAAGGUGUUUGGUUCUUUUGAAAAAUAUUUCAGAAAAUAGUUUCCUACUGAAAAAGUAUUAUUUUUUUU